UUCCCAGUAGCGCUAUGCAUAGCGCCUUGGACUUCUAAUCCUAAGGUCGUGGAUCCGAAUCCCACCUGGGAUG